CUAUUGAUACUGUAAGAGGAGAUUUAUUUUUGUGAAUAAUUGUGUAAAAGAAAAUAUGAUUUCUAUGAUGGUUAAUGAUUUGAUAAAUAUAUUCUUUAUAUAAUUAUUUAGAUUGGGGAACUACUUCUUCCUGUGUAGUUUGUAUCCAUAGGGUUCACCGUAGUUAGGUUGGGCGGAGUGAUACGCCGCACACGAGGCUAGUUUCAAGUUUGUUACCGGCGACAAGGGUGCAACUUGUCUGUUUUCUUGAGCGGAGAAUAAAACAUAUACAAGUUGCUCUGAAGAAGCUGUCCCCGUGCUGUUCUUACCCACGACCCCAAAAAUAGACUUUAUUAAGAAAAUGCUGCUGCGUGUCUCGUUUGGCGGAGUGCAGAAGUACAUGAAGCUGCCUGAACUAACAUUCGGUGAUUUCUUGAGAGAAGUGAGUCUAAAAUUUAACAUUGCUGAAGACAGACGGUUGGACAUCAAGGUUUAUGACCAGUCUAACACAGAGGUCGACUCUGAAGUUUUUGAGGAGAUCGUACAAGAGUUCCAUGGACCUUUCCUAAUUUCAUUGGCCAAUGAAGCACCUGGUUACCCUCAGUCCACGUCAUCUCCAUGCUCUAUUGCAUCUGAAGACACAGUGAUCCUCAACUUCUCGUUGUGUGACCCAGCUGAGGAGCCAGUUGCAGCCGAAGGAAGUCAACCUAAAAGGCCUUGCCGCAUUAACUAUGAAGCAAAAGCUGUGAGUUGUGUGUGUGUGGGGAGUUUGAUUCACAUGUUUAAUUUGAGGUGCAUCUUAUUUGUUUCAUAAUUUCCAAGUAUUUUUCAAAAUACAAUACUGCACAUUUUAUUUCUUACCUGAUUGAAAAAAUCUUGACGACAAAGCCUGGAGGUGACCGUGUCAUGGAGGAGUAUGCGAAAACGAAAUCAUUUACAGAUUCAACCAGAAGACAGCUCAUCAACAUACUUACUGCAGAGAUGACGGAAACACAUGGGUAAGUAUGGAUCAAAUAUGUUAUCAUGAGACAUUGUUUAAACAUAGCAAUUAUUGUUUAGAUCAUGUUGUUCAAUGCUAUCUAUGAAUGUUGA